rnacentral:lncRNA from 1 species
AAUUUUUGAAUUGGUGAUAGAAACUAUAUAAUUAACAAACCAUUUGAUAAUAAAAGUCCAAAAGAGAAAGUUGCCAGGAAGAAGAGAGAGAAGAGAGAGAAGUUAGAUCUAUCUUGAGGACCGGCGGUCGGUCGGCGCGUGAGCGUCCGUGCCGGCACCGGAGUCCUUUUUUUGUUCGUCGUAGUGGCUCUCCGCCGCUCCUCCUUCGCCGUCCUGUCAUCGAUCGCCUUGUCCGAAGCUCUGGUUCCGCCACUAUCCCUAACGGUGGUUCGGUUUGUGGAGCAACAACGCGUUCGUCUGGAGGUUUCUGGUGGAGAGGGAGCGGCUUGCAUGCUCAGAGGUGGUGGUUUUCCGGGAGGUGGAGGCUUGCACAGAUCCACCGUCGCCGGCUCUAGCUUUCGGGAAGGGAGUCUCCUUCAGACUCGCCUUCGCUGGAUUUUGGUUACGGAGAGCGGAAGCUUGCAAAGCUCUACGCUGCCGCUUAGAAACCCGGUGUUGUUUGGGUAAAGUUUACAAGAUUCGAUUGGUGUUAAGUUCGGCGUGGUUGUCGUCGAGGUGGGGUUGGGUCACGGCGGAGGAGAUUUCGGGAAAGGAUGAAUCUCUUCGGCAAGGUGACGAGCGAUGGUUUCUCUGAGCGCGUGUCUAAGGUUUGAAGUGCUUUAAAGGCGGAGGAGAUCUCGAGUUUCGAUGGAACUCUCCGGCGUGAGGACAGUGCGGUGAAGAACGGUUAUAGGUUCGUUGGAGGCUUGUCGGUUUCUAAGCUCCGACGAACGAGGAUCUCGUUGGUGGUGCUCCGGCGACGUUGAGGCGGAAGCGCUCAAGUCGAGGCAGUUACGACGGAUGUCGCGUUGAUGGAGCAGAUCACUCCACGUGUCGAGACUGCCUCCUUGACAUGCUUUCCGAUUGGGUCGGGCGGUUUCUGAGGUUGGGCCGAGGGCCCGUUUAGUAUUUUCUUUUGCCCGUCGUCUUUUGAGCUUGUAGCAGUAUCUUGUUGUAAUCGGGCUUCGGCCGUUUUAUGGGCUUGGCCCAUUUGAUAUAUUAAAAACAAACAUUGACGGAAAAAAAAAACCUAACAAGUGCGGUAUUCAAGGCGUAAAUGUCAAAA